GACGAACGCUGGCGGCGUGCUUAACACAUGCAAGUCGAACGGUAAGGCCCUUCGGGGUACACGAGUGGCGAACGGGUGAGUAACACGUGGGUGAUCUGCCCUGCACUUCGGGAUAAGCCUGGGAAACUGGGUCUAAUACCGGAUAGGACCACUGCCUGCAUGGGUGGUGGUGGAAAGCUUUUGCGGUGUGGGAUGGGCCCGCGGCCUAUCAGCUUGUUGGUGGGGUGCUGGCCUACCAAGGCGACGACGGGUAGCCGGCCUGGGAGGGUGAACGGCCACACUGGGACUGGGGUACGGCCCAGACUCCUGCGGGAGGCAGCAGUGGGGAAUAUUGCGCAAUGGGCGCAAGCCUGAUGCAGCGACGCCGCGUGAGGGAUGACGGCCUUCGGGUUGUAAACCUCUUUCAGCACCGACGAAGCGCAAGUGACGGUAGGUGCAGAAGAAGGACCGGCCAACUACGUGCCAGCCGCCGCGGUAA
rnacentral:rRNA from 1 species